GGCCCGCACAAGCAGUGGAGCAUGUGGUUUAAUUCGAUGCAACGCGAAGAACCUUACCAGGGUUUGACAUCCUGCGAAUCUCUUGGAAACGAGAGAGUGCCUUCGGGAACGCAGUGACAGGUGGUGCAUGGCUGUCGUCAGCUCGUGUCGUGAGAUGUUGGGUUAAGUCCCGCAACGAGCGCAACCCACGUCUUUAGUUGCCAGCAUUUAGUUGGGCACUCUAGAGAGACUGCCGGUGAUAAACCGGAGAAGGUGUGGAUGACGUCAAGUCAUCAUGCCCCUUACAUCUGGGCUACACACGUACUACAAUGCUACGGACAAAGAGCAGCAAGUUCGCGAGGACAAGCAAAUCUCAUAAACCGUGGCUCAGUUCAGA
rnacentral:rRNA from 1 species